CUUAAAAGGGAACCGGACAGUACAUUAGUUUGUGUACUGCUUUGUUGGUUAAAGACUUUUUGAAGUAAAGAGGAGCAUCUCAUCUGAACCUGAUGUAUAUCAUGGAUAUUUAACUGCAGUUCUGUGAGUAUCCCAACUUAACCAUGAAGCAUAACUGCAAACUGUAAGUCAUUAAUUUCUCAUUACUCUUGGGCACAUUGAUGUAUUUUGGCUUCCUGGUGAGUUAACCUGUUAAAUGAAGGUUGACCUGAGUUGUAAGGAUGUUUUAUUGGUUCAUGGGUUACUUAGGUGUUUGGUUUAUGUUGGUUUUAAUGAUUUGAUAAACUGGUUACAGACUCCAAGUUAUUGUUGUAAGCUGGAGUAAUGGGUUGGGUUCUGAUAUCUUCAGUCUUCUUUCAUUCUACUCUCCUGAGCUCUGCAUCUUCAUCACAUGAGUGUUGCUUUACUAAUGAGGUUGUGGUCUGAGUGAGCAGAGGUGCAUACUGGGAUACAGAGCUGUCUGAAGUCUACAGGUCUGUAGACACGCCCCCUCAGGGGAAACCGAGUGUUUGAGAAACGUUGGUGACGUCAGUUACAUGGACUGGAAUGUUCUUAAAGAUGGAGACAGGGAUCCAGAAAGAGAAAAAUCAGGGGGAGAUGAGGGGGCUCCUCAUCUCAACGACUAAAACACAACUUCACUCUGACAUAGAGAACCAUGGAACACAUUCAACAGUCCUCUCCAGGCAUCGUGACUCCUCAGGAACAGUUUAAUUUCCAAGAAGGUCUUAUUUGGGGCCAUCCCCAUAUGGAUCCUGCUCCUCAAGAGCCACCCCCCUCCACUGGGUGGUCUUCUGAACAGAUGACCUCCUUCCUGUCCGCAGGCUGACUAAAGCUGCAACGUUUGCAUCUGUGAAGGCCCCGCUUUCAGGAAACCACUGGACUACAAAGACAUGACUUCAGAGAUGUUGAAUCAACCUGGGACACAUUUUUGGAGACGCCAAGCAUAAUCCAUCACCAAUGUGGGACGCCACUGAAGAAUGUUGUACAUAAUUUACGUCUCUUCGAGACAUUGGUUGUUCUGUUAUGGGUGCCCUGGCAGGAGCGCUGGGGGGGGGGUGAUGGAAUGCUAUUUGGCAUCAGGGUUUUUACCCUGUAUGAUUGUUUGGACUUUUAUGGCUCUGUGGUGUGUGUGUUUGGGUUUGACAUGAGAUGGAAGAUUUUUGAGCAUUGCUAGGGUUCUACUGUGUGUGUGUGUGUGUCUCCCACUCACACCUGGCAUGGGGUUCUACGUGCCUGUCCUGGAUUCUAUGUGUGUGUGUGUGUGUGUGUGUGUGUGUGUGUGUGUCCGGCUUGCUUUGACAGCGAUAAUGUUCAUACGGGGGUCUGUGUGAUUGGCUUGGGAUAUUGGAAUGGUCAACUAAAUCAUACCUGAUGGACGGCCACACGUUUACUUAAGGGCCUCCAGUAGACAUGAAGAGCCCUGAGCGACGCUCCGGAGCGAUAUCCAACACACUGGGCAGGAAGGAGAGUAUCCAACUCAAGUGUAAAAGGAUGCAAGCGGCGUGUUCAGAUCAGUGACUUCAAACUAGGACUACACCAAUCAGGAUCAAUGGAGGAUGGACACCAAAAGGAAUUCCACAAGGAGAGUCUGACGUUGGAAAGGGACCUAAAUGGAUAUUCAAGAUGACCUUCAGACCUGUAAUGAGACGGCUCUUCCUACUUGGCUGGAUUGAUGGAGAGCCCUGUGGAUCUUGUCUUGCUCUCAGUUGCACGUCUUCUCAGGCUGAACUGUAUUUGUUUCGGACAGGACAAGUUGAACGAUUGGUUCCCUUAAAUCAGAACCAAUCCGGGAACUCCAGCUAGUGCGCUCUUCGAGCUGAAGUUGUGCUCUUCAGCUGAGGAGGUAAUGAAACCUUCACUGGGGCUUCAAGUUGUAAAGAGGAGAAUGUUUCAAAGUGUUCCAUGGUACUCUGAAGACCGUUGUUGUGUUCCACUGGCUGAGAGAAAGAACCCACACAUCUUCCUCUUGGCCUUUCUCCUCUGAGAAUCCUGGCGCCAUCUUGAAGGAUAUUCCAGCUCAUGUAACUGAUGUCACGACAGAUUCUCAAACACUUGGUUUCUCCUGAGGGGUGUGUCUAUGGAACUGAAGACCUCAGACAGCACUGUAUCCCAGCAUGCAUCUCUGCUCACUCAGACCACACCCCAUGAGUAGGAUGCAACACUAGUGAUGGAGAUGUAGAGUUCUAUAAGUAACGAGGGAGCAGACUAAGGUGAUUGGAACACAAUGGAAUGUCAAGUUUGUAAAUCUAUAAACAAUGAAGAUGGUUGCAUAGUUCAGGAUGUGGCUUAUUUUUAUUAUGGACAGUCCUUUCACUCGGAUGCCCACUUCUCACUGGAGCUGUACAUGUGUUGGCUGGCUGGCAUGAUUUGCUGUUGGUGAUGAGGCGGUCAGGGUGACGUUGCAGGGCUAUGGUCGGCUCUCUGUGAGCUCAACGUUUAGAUUUGCUCUGUAUGUUUGUACCCUGAAUAAUCUAGAUAAUUGUAAAAUGUAGACACGGUUUUGUAUUGAAUGAUUCUAGGAUUUUAGUUUUAAAGUUGUCGUGGGACGUACAUGGUAGUUUGUUUUCUUCGUAUGGUUUUGAGUGAUAACUUGUACACACUGGGUGCAUAAUAAUGUGGAGGUACACUGAAUAGUACUAAUGACCAACAGCAACAAACAGAUCUCCUCAAGGUAAGUCUGUUGGCUGUGUUUUAAUGAAGACCAUCGCUGGACUUCAGGAUCUUCCUCCGUUCAGCUCAAGGUGAGGCGCUGGUUCUGUUUUUUUCUUUGGUUGGUUCCGGCCGGAAUGUUCGGAUUCCAGUCGGACGGUUUGUGCUUCCCGCCGUGGAAGGUUCUGAGUGCGGUCACUUGAUUUAGUCCCAAUGGUUAGCAUAGAACGUUGUAGUCUUGACAACCAUAAGAAACCACCUGGCAGUUAGUUGGACGGGAGUCCCCUGAGGGAAUCUGGCGGAACGUUCUGGAUUGUAUUUGCGUAACCUCGAGCCGUUGCCAACGGAAACUUUUUUUUUUGUCUGUUUCCAUCGGGAAUUGUUGCCCCUAUCUUAAACAACUUAAGUUUGAUAUUAAAUACAUACUGACACGUACGUCGUACAAUAUGUUGAUUUCCGAUGGUUGCGCCGUAUUUUUAACCAUGAUGACGUGAUGGGACUCUCACUGCGUACAAAACAGCGUUCUACUUGCGGGCCCAUUUUUGACAUCAGGGAAGGCUGAAAAUCAUUUCAAGGAGGAAGAUAAUUUGACAUUUCUUCAACGGAACCCAGCACCUGAAUAUGGCUGAGUAUAUUUGAUUUAAUAUCGAUACUGCUUAGUGUUCUUUGUUACUUCAGCUUUUGUACGUUCUAAAUAUCUGCUGUCAUUAAUUGCUACAGAAGUUAAACCCUACCCAAUGGAAUAACGACUUUGGUGCAGAGUUACCAACUAGAUAAUAUCAAAGCUAAAAUAAUGGCCGUCAUUCCCACAUGUUACAGUAGAAGAUACUCUAGAACUGUACAAGGUUAAAGAGGUAACAUGUAGUUUGUCCCAAGGUGUCUGCCUCCUCACCUAGAGUAAGACCUCCACCUCUUCACCCGGAGCCAGACCUCCACCUUCUGUCAGAAGUCCUCCAGAACAGAUGAGAGGCUGGGGACCGGAGGCUUGUGGUGCCAGGGUGGACCGGAGACUGAGGCUGGAGACCAGGGGUCUGCAGCACCGGACCAGAGGACCAGGACUCUGUCUGAGGAGAGCUGCUGGAGGAGCUGAGACGCUGGAGGACGACUAGGAAUCGGCCAACAAGGAUUCCUCAACGUGUUUCUGGAGCGGAGGCGAGCUGGUAGGGGAGCCGUGAAUCUGGAGGAUGACCAUCACUCUACCAACAAGGAUUGUAAGUUUGUAUUAACCAAAAAAACUGGAAAUAAAGGGCUUAAGGUUUUAGUUUUAAAGUUGUCGUGGGACGUACAUGGCAGUUUGUUUUCUUCGUAUGGUUUUGAGUGAUAUAACUUGUACACACUGGGUGCAUAAUAAUGUGAAGGUACACUGAAUAGUACUAAUGACCAACAGCAACAAACAGAUCUCCUCAAGGUAAGUCUGUUGGCUGUGUUUUAAUGAAGACCAUCGCUGGACUUCAGGAUCUUCCUCCGUUCAGCUCAAGGUGAGGCGCUGGUUCUGUUUUUUUUCUUUGGUUGGUUCCGGCCGGAAUGUUCGGAUUCCUGUCGGACGGUUUGUGCUUCCCGCCGUGGAAGGUUCUGAGUGCGGUCACUUGAUUUAGUCCCAAUGGUUAGCAUAGAACGUUGUAGUCUUGACAACCAUAAGAAACCACCUGGCAGUUAGUUGGACGGGAGUCCCCUGAGGGAAUCUGGCGGAACGUUUUGGAUUGUAUUUGCGUAACCUCGAGCCGUUGCCAACGGAAACUAUUUUUCAGUCGGUUUCCAUCGGGAAUUGUUGCCCCUAUCUUAAACAACUUAAGUUUGAUAUUAAAUACAUACUGACACGUACGUCGUACAAUAUGUUGAUUUCCGAUGGUUGCGCCGUAUUUUUAACCACGAUGACGUGAUGGGACUCUCACUGCGUACAAAACGGCAUUCUACUUGCGGGCCCAUUUUUGACAUCAGGGAAGGCUGAAAAUCAUUUCAAGGAGGAAGAUAAUUUGACAUUUCUUCAACGGAAUCCAGCACCUGAAUAUGGCUGAGUAUAUUUGAUUUAAUAUCGAUGCUGCUUAGUGUUCUUUGUUACUUCAGCUUUUGUACGUUCUAAAUAUUUGCUGUCAUUAAUUGCUACAGAAGUUAAACCCUACCCAAUGGAAUGACGUUAAACAACGACUUUGGUGCAGAGUUACCAUCUAGAUAAUAUCAAAGCUAAAAUAAUGGCCGUCAUUCCCACAUGUUACAGUAGAAGAUACUCUAGAACUGUACAAGGUUAAAAAGGUAACAUGUAGUUUGUCCCAAGGUGUCUGCCUCCUCACCUAGAGUAAGACCUCCACCUCUUCAUCCGGAGCCAGACCUCCACCUUCUGUCAGAAGUCCUCCAGAACAGAUGAGAGGCUGGGGACCGGAGGCUUGUGGUGCCAGGGUGGACCGGAGACUGAGGCUGGAGACCAGGGGUCUGCAGCACCGGACCAGAGGGUAACCAUCACCAAGCUCAUCUGAAACACUAAAAGACCAGGACUCUGUCUGAGGAGAGCUGCUGGAGGACGACUAGGAAUCGGCCAACAAGGAUUCCUCAACGUGUUUCUGGAGCGGAGGCGAGCUGGUAGGGGAGCCGUGAAUCUGGAGGAUGACCAUCACUCUACCAACAAGGAUUAGUUUAGGGCCAGACUCUCGCUGUUUGUUCGAGACCAGGACUCUGGCUGAGGAGAGCUGAUGGAGGAGCCAAGACUCGAGCCAAGAGGACAACAUCACUCCACCAACGAGGAUCCUCACCAGGAAUCUGGAGGACUGAUGGAGAAGCCGUACAUCUGGAAGGCAAAUCCUGAGGACCACCAGGACUCUAUCAUCAAGGAUUCCUAAGUUUGCAUUAUCUGGACAUAGUGGACUAGACACUGCUGAGCUGAACCUCACCUGAUCAUGUUUGGUCGGGGGUAGACACACCUGAGCUAAACCCGCCCUGAUCCUGACAUCCUGCUGGUCCCGUCUCCUCAGUUCAUAUGAGCCUCGUCCUCCAGAAGACCUGCUGAGCUCAGCAGUCUGAGGCUGAUGGAUCAAUGACCUCCAGUGGGAGUGAUCUUCUUGACCCCACAUGUAACCGUGUGCUUCCACACGCCUUUCCCUCACGUCUGUCACUAACCUCACUACUUCACUACUCUCUACUGCUUCCUCUUUUCUUCCUUCUCUGUGGUUCAAACCUUUACACUGAAGGCGCGUCUUCCUGCCCUCAGAGGGUUUAGCGUUAGGGUUGAGAGUCAGGGUUUAGAGUCAGGGACAGAGCUGGUCAGGGAGGACUGCUUUUACACAAACCUCUUCACUUGCUUUCGGAACGGUGGUGACAUUUUGAAAAGAUUGAUUUGGGAAAAUGUUUCCCUCUGCUGAGUCCUGGUCUGUUUGUUCCAGACCAGGACUCUGGCUGAGGAGAGCUGAUGGAGGAGCCAAGACUCGAGCCAAGAGGACAACAUCACUCCACCAACCAGGAUCCUCACCAGGAAUCUGGAGGACUGAUGGAGAAGCCGUACAUCUGGAAGGCAAAUCCUGAGGACCACCAGGACUCUACCAUCAAGGAUUCCUAAGUUUGCGUUAUCUGGACAUAGUGGACUAGACACACCUGAGCUGAACCUCACCUGAUCCUGUUUGGUCGGGGGUAGACAUACCUGAGCUAAACCCGCCCUGAUCCUGACAUCCUGCUGGUCCCGUCUCCUCAGUUCAUAUGAGCCUCGUCCUCCAGAAGACCUGCUGAGCUCAGCAGUCUGAGGCUGAUGGAUCAAUGACCUCCAGUGGGAGUGAUCUUCUUGACCCCACAUGUAACCGUGUGCUUCCACACGCCUUUCCCUCACGUCUGUCACUAACCUCACUACUUCACUACUCUCUACUGCUUCCUCUUUUCUUCCUUCUCUGUGGUUCAAACCUUUACACGGAAGGCGCGUCUUCCUGCCCUCAGAGGGUUUAGCGUUAGGGUUGAGAGUCAGGGUUUAGAGUCAGGGACAGAGCUGGUCAGGGAGGACUGCUUUUACACAAACCUCUUCACUUGCUUUCGGAACGGUGGUGACAUUUUGAAAAGAUUCAUUUGGGAAGAUGUUUCCCUCUGCUUUCCUUUACAAAAUUGUAUUCAACUUCUGUCAAGUGUUUUGGUUUAUAUAUUAAAAUCCCACAUUGACUUCUACAUGUUUGGUGCGGUUCAUUUAAUUGUCCUUUUAACUUGGUUAAUGUCAAGCUAAACUCCUAAUACAUUUAACAUACAUGAUUGUUAUUCAGCAAUGUUCACAUAAUCCAUUUUGUAAAAAUAUGACGC
ensembl:lncRNA